rnacentral:rRNA from 1 species
AUUGAACGCUGGCGGCAGGCCUAACACAUGCAAGUCGAGCGGAUAAAGGGAGCUUGCUCCUGGAUUCAGCGGCGGACGGGUGAGUAAUGCCUAGGAAUCUGCCUGGUAGUGGGGGAUAACGUCCGGAAACGGGCGCUAAUACCGCAUACGUCCUGAGGGAGAAAGUGGGGGAUCUUCGGACCUCACGCUAUCAGAUGAGCCUAGGUCGGAUUAGCUAGUUGGUGGGGUAAAGGCCUACCAAGGCGUCGAUCCGUAACUGGUCUGAGAGGAUGAUCAGUCACACUGGAACUGAGACACGGUCCAGACUCCUACGGGAGGCAGCAGUGGGGAAUAUUGGACAAUGGGCGAAAGCCUGAUCCAGCCAUGCCGCGUGUGUGAAGAAGGUCUUCGGAUUGUAAAGCACUUUAAGUUGGGAGGAAGGGCAGUAAGUUAAUACCUUGCUGUUUUGACGUUACCAACAGAAUAAGCACCGGCUAACUUCGUG